UAAAUUAAUAAUGUGGAGCACAGGAAACGGACAAGAAGAGACAAGAGAGGAGGCAAAACAUUUACCAAUGCAAACUUUAACUAACGUCAACAAAUUAGUUUUAAUACAGCAAUGAGGUCUACAUGAAGAGGAAAAUGGACUGCUUCCAGAUGAGGACAAAUGUAGACGUCAUCAGAGAAUCAUAUCUUCAAACAACAGGUCUGACUCUUCCAUCAUUAUCCUGUGGAUAUCUUAACCCACUAACAGGGACAAAGAUAGCAAAGAUGCGAUGGACUGUUUAUGGAUCAGAAAGAGUGGUCCUCGAUGUCUUCAGCUUGAGUUCUAGACCCAGUGAAGUCUAAUGGUAUCACAAAUACUGGCAAGGGAUCGUUUGACCACCACCUGUGCCUUUUCUCAGCUGAUGAAUCACAGGUCCUCCAUGUUGGCCAACACUUGGACGAUGGAUUGAAAGUGGCAAAGGCACUGAAUGAAGACUGGGUGGGGAACUUUAAGUUCCAUCACCGAAAAAGGCACAGUAGCACCACAAUUGGUAAGCAGUCUGAAUCCAGAUAGAAAUAGCUGCCGAAAUGAGUCUGACAGCAACAAUCCUAUCUAUCUCAGCAAUACUCAUCCUCAGCAAUGUACCGGUAGAAGAUACAUCGGAACAUAACAGCUUUGGUAGAAGUGAUGACCCGGCGUUCUUGUGCAGUCUAUGUCGCACCUUCACAUUGUGUUGUAUGUCAAUCAUUCUUAGACAAUCCUUUGGCAUUUAAGAUGAUGGCUUCCACUCAUGUUCUUUCAGUUUCAAGGAGGCUGGUGAGGCCAAUUUGAAUCUAAAGACCCUGCCGCAAGUGGAGCAGCAGGAGUUGAAUGAGCCAGGUGGGUAGUUGAGGAAGUGAGAUGCUCCUUCCACCAUUUCCGCUGUGUUUUGUGUGCAGGGUUACAAGAUCUUCAGUACUCAUACAGGUUUUUCUCAUCUAUUUUGAUCAGUCACAUCAUUGUAGUUGUUGUAGUUUCCCCAGGAAGUUUGAAAAUGUUCUUAAAUUGGUCCUCUGCCUUCCUGAUAGUCUAUUGCCUUGAUGGAAGCCAGGGCAGUGUGGCUGCUCGUUGAGUCUGAUAUUGGACAUGAAAACAAUGUUGCCUGCCCAUCAUGCAAAAUGGAAUAGAUUCCCAACAGACAUGACAGAUCAAUAUUGGGCAUUCCUGGGGCAAAGUGGGUCAUCAUCAGCAGUAGGAAUGUACAUUGCUACUAUCUGUAAUCUCUUGCCCCAGCAGAUUGCUCAUUCAGCUGUUGCAAUCAAGGCAGGAGAUUAACC